rnacentral:rRNA from 1 species
GUGCCAGCCGCCGCGGUAAUACGGAGGGUGCAAGCGUUAAUCGGAAUUACUGGGCGUAAAGCGCACGCAGGCGGUCUGUCAAGUCGGAUGUGAAAUCCCCGGGCUCAACCCGGGAACUGCAUUCGAAACUGUCAGGCUGGAGUCUCGUAGAGGGGGGUAGAAUUCCAGGUGUAGCGGUGAAAUGCGUAGAGAUCUGGAGGAAUACCGGUGGCGAAGGCGGCCCCCUGGACAAAGACUGACGCUCAGGUGCGAAAGCGUGGGGAGCAAACAGGAUUAGAUACCCUGGUAGUCCACGCUGUAAACGAUGUCGACUUGGAGGUUGUGCCCUUGAGGCGUGGCUUCCGGAGCUAACGCGUUAAGUCGACCGCCUGGGGAGUACGGCCGCAAGGUUAAAACUCAAAUGAAUUGACGGGGCCCGCACAAGCGGUGGAGCAUGUGGUUUAAUUCGAUGCAACGCGAAGAACCUUACCUACUCUU